rnacentral:rRNA from 1 species
CCCGCGCCGUAUUAGCUAGUUGGUGGGGUAACGGCCUACCAAGGCGACGAUACGUAGCCGACCUGAGAGGGUGAUCGGCCACACUGGAACUGAGACACGGUCCAGACUCCUACGGGAGGCAGCAGUAGGGAAUCUUCCGCAAUGGGCGAAAGCCUGACGGAGCAACGCCGCGUGAGUGAUGAAGGUCUUCGGAUCGUAAAGCUCUGUUGUUAGGGAAGAACAAAUGUGUAAGUAACUGUGCACAUCUUGACGGUACCUAACCAGAAAGCCACGGCUAACUACGUGCCAGCAGCCGCGGUAAUACGUAGGUGGCAAGCGUUAUCCGGAAUUAUUGGGCGUAAAGCGCGCGUAGGCGGUUUUUUAAGUCUGAUGUGAAAGCCCACGGCUCAACCGUGGAGGGUCAUUGGAAACUGGAAAACUUGAGUGCAGAAGAGGAAAGUGGAAUUCCAUGUGUAGCGGUGAAAUGCGCAGAGAUAUGGAGGAACACCAGUGGCGAAGGCGGCUUUCUGGUCUGCAACUGACGCUGAUGUGCGAAAGCGUGGGGAUCAAACAGGAUUAGAUACCCUGGUAGUCCACGCCGUAAACGAUGAGUGCUAAGUGUUAGGGGGUUUCCGCCCCUUAGUGCUGCAGCUAACGCAUUAAGCACUCCGCCUGGGGAGUACGGUCGCAAGACUGAAACUCAAAGGAAUUGACGGGGACCCGCACAAGCGGUGGAGCAUGUGGUUUAAUUCGAAGCAACGCGAAGAACCUUACCAAAUCUUGACAUCCUUUGACCGCUCUAGAGAUAGAGUUUUCCUCUUCGGAGGACAAAGUGACAGGUGGUGCAUGGUUGUCGUCAGCUCGUGUCGUGAGAUGUUGGGUUAAGUCCCGCAACGAGCGCAACCCUUGAACUUAGUUGCCAUCAUUCAGUUGGGCACUCUAAGUUGACUGCCGGUGACAAACCGGAGGAAGGUGGGGAUGACGUCAAAUCAUCAUGCCCCUUAUGAUUUGGGCUACACACGUGCUACAAUGGACAAUACAAAGGGCAGCGAAACCGCGAGGUCAAGCAAAUCCCAUAAAGUUGUUCUCAGUUCGGAUUGUAGUCUGCAACUCGACUACAUGAAGCUGGAAUCGCUAGUAAUCGUAGAUCAGCAUGCUACGGUGAAUACGUUCCCGGGUCUUGUACACACCGCCCGUCACACCACGAGAGUUUGUAACACCCGAAGCCGGUGGAGUAACCAUUUUGGAGCUAGCCGUCGAAGGUGGGACAAAUGAUUGGGGUGAAGUCGUAACAAGGUAGCCGUAUCGGAAGGUGCGGCUGG